rnacentral:piRNA from 1 species
UAAGAGUCCCAUAUAAGCCCCGCUCU